CCUACGGGAGGCAGCAGUGGGGAAUAUUGGACAAUGGGCGCAAGCCUGAUCCGGCCAUGCCGCGUGAGUGAUGACGGCCUUAGGGUUGUAAAGCUCUUUUACCUGGGAAGAUAAUGACUGUACCAGGAGAAUAAGCCCCGGCUAACUUCGUGCCAGCAGCCGCGGUGAU
rnacentral:rRNA from 1 species